rnacentral:rRNA from 1 species
ACGGGAGGCAGCAGUGGGGAAUUUUGGACAAUGGGGGAAACCCUGAUCCAGCCAUGCCGCGUGCGGGAAGAAGGCCUUCGGGUUGUAAACCGCUUUUGUCAGGGAAGAAAAGUCAGGAACUAAUAAUUUCUGAUGCUGACGGUACCUGAAGAAUAAGCACCGGCUAACUACGUGCCAGCAGCCGCGGUAAUACGUAGGGUGCAAGCGUUAAUCGGAAUUACUGGGCGUAAAGCGUGCGCAGGCGGUCAUGUAAGACAGAUGUGAAAUCCCCGGGCUCAACCUGGGAACUGCAUUUGUGACUGCAUGACUGGAGUACGUCAGAGGGGGGUGGAAUUGCGCGUGUAGCAGUGAAAUGCGUAGAUAUGCGCAAGAACACCAAUGGCGAAGGCAGCCCCCUGGGACGCAACUGACGCUCAUGCACGAAAGCGUGGGGAGCAAACAGGAUUAGAUACCCUGGUA